CCUUGAGCCCAGUAGCUCCCGGUGGUGGUGAGUUAAUGCCCCAUACAACUCUUCCGCAUGAUAACUUCAUCAGAUAUCUUCAGAGAGGAUUGUCAUAGGACUCCAAAAAAGUGCAAGUGAAUUUCUCAUCACUUCUUUGGUUGCUUGUGCUGAAAAUUUCAGAGCACCCUUCCGGACCCUUCCUGGGGCCUGUGUAUCUCAGCUCAAGGAGACUGGGCUAGGGAAAAGCAGGGAAAGGGUCUACCUGAAGCUCGACAUAAUUUUCACUCCCGGAUGGUUCCCCUCUAGCAUAGAAUUCCCAAGGAACUGUUUACAAUACAUCAGUGAGCAGUUCCUUUUCUCAUUGAUUUCAUCAUCUUAAGCUCUGGCUUAAUGCCAGGCCUGUGUAUCAGCAAGACAAUCACAUACACAUGGGCAAUAUCUAGUGCCAAGGAGGCUUGGAAUGAUCAAACCAGCCCUGGGAAUCCAAAAAGCUAGUAUCAAAGAGGUAACUUUUGGUACCCUCACAGGUCUUGGAUUUAACAGGGAAUGUCAUCCAAAAGAGAGAAAAAGAACAACAAUACAAUGAUAGUGAAUUGCAACUGCCUGAAGGAACAGAGCAAACGCUGAAUAGUGCCGUGUGGCGACAGGGGGUGAGGCUUUGCUGGUGUGGGUUCCGGAACUGUUUUCCUCGGAGAUGCAUUUAUGUGGACGCAACCAAAAAUACCUUUCUGAGCACUGGGGAAAGAUGGCAUAUUCCAAGGGAGAACAUGUUUUUCUUCCAUCCAGAUCAAAAUGUAUUUUAACUGACUCUCAGGAAGCCAUCUGUAUGCCUUUAUAAGUCCAGAAUUUGACUGUAGAGAAUUUUGCUUAAAGUCAGUGAGCAAAACCUAGGAGUAGGGUAUGGAAAUCUCUGUCCACAGAAGUCUGUUGCAUCAGGAUGUGACAGGUGAUCACACAGAGGUGGGACAACCUGACUUGUGGCCUUGACAGUUAGUCAGCCAUAUCUUGAUGUGGAGCUGGGGGUGAAGAAGGAUGGGGGGCAUUUUUAGGAGUUUACAAAGCCUGAUUUUUCCGGGCAUUGGGAAGGCACCAAUGUAAGAUACCUCCGUGAAUGGAGAGAAUUCUGUUCACGUGUAAAGAAAGUGAGAUUUAAUUUUUGACUGAAUGGAAAAAUCAGGCACGUAUUUAUUGGGGACUCCUAGAAGAUGAACAGAAGACAAUGCCCAGGGCGCUGGCAAGAACUUUUAAGGAAACAAGAAAGAGCACCACCUCAACUUCAACAUGCUGAGACAAGAGGAGGAAGCCAAGAAUGUUGACUUUCAAGUGAAACCAAGCCAGAAAACUUCAGAAAUAUGAAUUAAAUAAACAUUGGAAGGAAGAGAGCAAACUUUUUCUAAUCAUUUCAAAGCUAGUUAUGAAGUUGCUUUUGGGGAACAUAGAGGACUACUUUUUCUCAAAGUGAACUUUCCAGCGAACGGUCGUAAGCAGGCAGUACGAAGGCCCAGGAUGUCCAGAAUGGCUCACAGAGGGAAGGGUUUUGCUGCAUUUUGUUUAGGCAGUGAAUCCUUCAGCUGUCCACUUUCCUCUCUAUAAUCGACUCUGCUCCGCUCUGCACUUGCCAGACAGACACAUCAGUUCUGAUGGCAUGUGCCCUGCUCUGUAUGCAAAAGAUAUCCAUGAGUAUUAACUAAGUUUGCAAGAGGAAUUAAGAUCCAUAAUAAAUGCUUUAGCAAAGAGGCUUUGGGGAAUAAAAAUGUGACUUCAGGCAAAAUUCUCAUAAACCAGACAUCAUCUUUGAUUUACAGUUUAUAGUAUUUUCCUCACUGUAUCCAAUAUCCCCAGCUUGAGGGCUCUUGCUCCAUGGGGCAUGAUUGACUGCCCAAGGUGGGAAGAUAGUUCUGGGCGCUGAAGUUAAGUCAAUGGAAUUAGAAAUGGGAAAAAACACAAAAGAAGCAGAAUUUCAGAUUUUUGUUUGUUUGGGUUUGGGGUUUGUUUGUUUGUUUGUUUGCAUUUUUAGUAGUUAGGAUAAAAGUCUUUGUCUACGAAGCACGAAAAUAUUUUAAGAAGUUGGCUGCUCUUUUAGAAAAGGUGAUUUCCUACUUUCUCUGUGAUACUAGGCACAAGAUGGUGACCAUAAUUGGGGAAGUGCGCCAUCAUAUUUUGUACCGUGUACAUCAGAGAUUCAUUUACCUAGACCAUUCAAACAUGGAAAAGAGACUCCUUGAGUCCAGAUGGAGGGUGGAUCUUUCAUUUCCCUCAACUCUCUAUCAGAUUUUAAGAAUAAACAAAAAAGGAGAGGAAAUGACAUAUGAUAAACAAGUUGAAUUUACCAUCAUUUCUGUACAAGGCACUGUACUGGGCACAUUGGCAGGUUGUGCGAACCUAGUAAUUUAAUGACAUAGAUUGGAAAUCAGACCAAUUUCUUAUAAAUGUACAAAGGGAGCUAAUAAUCAUUAACUAAUAAGACAUGGAGAUGACAUAAAGGAAUCAUAAAUAUUUGAAAGAAAAUUUUAUUUUUUUUGAGCCAUAUGUAUAUAUUCAGCAUAUAAGACCAUCAGAAAAAUAAACUUAAAGACACAAGAACAUUCUUCUACAGAACCACACCCAUAAAAUGGAUAGGAAAAUAGUUGGUAUACAUACUUAGGGCUAUCACUUUGGUAAAUGAAUGCAUGAGUACUCAUGAUUUAUGAGCUCCUUAGCAUUUUUUUACUUGGAGAGAUGGUCAAAAGCACCUCUGAACAUAUUUCACACUAAUCAUUUUAAUGUUAUUGUUAUUAAGCAAUUUAUAAGCUAAUAUAUAGUUUGAGAAUAGGUCUGAAAAUAAUGAUCUUGUCUCUCUUUUCCACACCUCAAAAGUUAUUUAUAAUUGGCUAAGGCCAUGGGAAAACACGUGAUUAUUUCCAACAAGAUGUUCUUGAGUCUGUAGGAUAUAAGCAGUAUG